UUGAUCCUUCCUUUUUACAAAUGUAUACUUUCACAAAUGUUCUUUUUGUCUGUAAUGUGAACACAGAUGGCAGCCCUUCAGUAAGAUGUUGGAAACGACUCUAAUCGACAGAAAUCACCACCUUCACUUUCAUCCCACAAGACCAACCUGGACUGUUAAAUGCGCUCUCAAUACAAAAGGCUAAAAUGUUUGUGGUCUCCUUGGCAAGAUGUCUAUAGAUCUGUAUGUCUUUGGUAAUGGUGUCCAGACUACAAGGCAGGGUCUCAGCUCCAGCACAUCUGGAGGCCAUGGUUGAACAGCCCUUUACUCUGAGCUGUACGCUUGUCAAGGCUAAAGGAGAAUCA